rnacentral:rRNA from 1 species
UAGGGAAUCUUCGGCAAUGGACGAAAGUCUGACCGAGCAACGCCGCGUGAGUGAAGAAGGUUUUCGGAUCGUAAAACUCUGUUGUUAGAGAAGAACAAGGACGUAAGUAACUGAACGUCCCCUGACGGUAUCUAACCAGAAAGCCACGGCUAACUACGUGCCAGCAGCCGCGGUAAUACGUAGGGGGCAAGCGUUGUCCGGAUUUAUUGGGCGUAAAGCGAGCGCAGGCGGUUUCUUAAGUCUGAUGUGAAAGCCCCCGGCUCAACCGGGGAGGGUCAUUGGAAACUGGGAGACUUGAGUGCAGAAGAGGAGAGUGGAAUUCCAUGUGUAGCGGUGAAAUGCGUAGAUAUAUGGAGGAACACCAGUGGCGAAGGCGGCUCUCUGGUCUGUAACUGACGCUGAGGCUCGAAAGCGUGGGGAGCAAACAGG